GCGGCCUACGAAACCUCUCAUGAAUCUGAUGCCCUAGUGCAAGUGCGCAAACUGAAGCCAACCACACACCACACACACAUAUAUAUACAGAUUCACAUCCAAGUUCCUUCCAUUUUUCUUUUGAAAGCUGCAGGGUGCUCUUCUUCUCUAGGUUGAUCAUAUAUCAUCUGAGAGCUCCAAACUAAAGCCUGCAGCCAUGGAUCUGAUGGAGAAGUCCAGACGAGCAAGUUUCUUGUUCGACGACAACGACGGAGAUGAGGAUCAAAACAAACAAAAUAAUGGAGAGGCUAAUAGGGAGGUGAUGAGGACUCAUGUUAAUCGAGCUGGGGAGAAUAAUAACAAUGAGAACUUCACAACUCGUGGACUACCAAACGACACUAGUAAGGAUCGCUCCUCCGGUUUGCUGGCAAGCUUGCUGUGUUGUUGUGGACCGCGGCGAAAUUAACUAAGUCGUAGUACAAAAUGAGACACACAUCCUAGUUCUAUGAUUCGGGAUUUGAGGUAUGCUUAGAUUUACAGUAGUAGAAUAUACCAUAUUAUAUACUAAGUUGUUAUGUUUUAGGACGUCGGAUUUUGAACCAGCUGUGAUUUGAUCUUAUAUGUACUAGUGGCACCGCCAGUUACCGGUGAUUACCAAUUACUCUCAUGUGUGUUAAGUUAACCAUGCAUACAUGAAUGUAGAGACUGGGAUGAAUAUGUUGAUUAUUAUCUUAUAAAAGAAAUUAGAUAGUACUACAUGUGAUUGUGUAUGUGUGUUUAGAUAUUAAUGUUAUGCAAGAAUAUUGUACUAUCGCCAUAUAUAUAAUCGUGUCAACUUGUUUGAUAUAUUUGACAUAUAUAACUUGUACAAUUUAC
rnacentral:lncRNA from 1 species